rnacentral:rRNA from 1 species
AUACGGAGGGUGCAAGCGUUACUCGGAAUCACUGGGCGUAAAGCGCGCGCAGGCGGCUUGGUAAGUUGGAUGUGAAAGCCUACGGCUCAACCGUAGAACUGCAUCCAAAACUGCCAAGCUAGAGUGUGGGAGAGGAAGAUGGAAUUAGUUGUGUAGGGGUAAAAUCCGUAGAGAUAACUAGGAAUACCAAAAGCGAAGGCAAUCUUCUGGAACACUACUGACGCUGAGGCGCGAAAGCGUGGGGAGCAAACAGGAUUAGAAACCCGAGUAGUCC